GCAUGGGCCUGUGAAGCAUGGGCCCCAUCACAUAGUGCUGACAUAAUCUGCGAAGGCCUGGGAUGAGUCCCACGAGUCGCUAACCACGUGGCAAGUGGCCCGGAGCCGCCGAAUGGCUUCCCUGGCUGUGACUGCAUCCUGGUCCAGCCAGUUCUGGAAGAGGCGCAGGUGACCAAAGGCUCCACGGCCCCAGCGCUCCAGCCGCUUGGCGAACUCCAGAAGGCCAUCGGGCUUGAUGCAGUUGGAACUGGUAGGAGUGAGAUGGAUUAGACACACCUAGGAAAUAAUUAAUCCCUAGUCUAUAUCCCUGCAGUUCCAUCCCUUGUCCCAUCCCCAGCCCCAUGUACCUGAUGUCCAGCUGACACAGAGAGGAGGAUGAAUCCUCUGAGAAAACAUCUGCCAGGGCCAGCAGGCCAGCAUUCCCUGGGAAGAAGGGGAGAAAUGUCUACAACCACCCAAGAACAGGGGAACAAGGGGAUGCCAACCCCGUUCUGGUAGGGAGAAGCCCACCCUCCUGAAGCUUCAGCACACAACAAUAUUCCAACCCCCAUGUUCCCCAGUGGGAAGGCCUGUGCCUUCAUCCACUAUGUUUCUAAGUCAAAGGAUUGGCUCCUUCCCCCUGUCCCUUCCCAGGGCCCUGCCCCCACCCAGGCGGUUCCCUGGCAGCCGGAGGCCCUUCAGUGUGGAGUUGCCCUUCAUAGCAGCAACCAUCUCAGGCAGAAAUUGGGCCGGGCGCUUCUCAAAGAGACGGCAGAAGGAGAAGGUAAUCUCUGUCAAGAGAAAUUAGAAUAAAUUCUGAUGGCUAACGUUAGGAUUUGGUGCUACCCAUCCUACCCCAGUUGGCCCUAGCAAGGGGGUGGUGGUGGUGAACAUUUUAUAGAAGCCCAGAAAAGGGAAUUUGUCUAAGACCCCAAGGAAGACUGGAACUAAUCAGAUUCAAAACAGAGACUGAGCCCAGAUAUUCACUAUUGGGAGGUUCUCUGCAUGAACAGUUCUUCAUUCACCUCUUUUCCCUCUAUACAGGGGUGGGGAUUAGGGGCAAACAGCGUAUUUAUCCUUCCCACCACCAUUAUUUCUGCAGCUAUUUAAAGGUAACCAGCAAACUGAUGUCUACUAUACUGGGCCAUGCCCUCAAGCAUCAGUAAGGGCAGUCACAAAACAAGAUAGGACAUGGUGGGGCAUCUUGUGCUGCCAGCUGAAUGACAGGCCCAGGCCCAGAGGGCAGCAGCAGUCUCUGGACUCUUAUAGGUCACAAUGAACUCGUGAAAUCUAAGCAGGGGAGUGACAAUGACCCAGUAGGCAAUACUUUAAAGGAUUAACUGGGUGGGGAAUAGACCAAAAAAGGACAACCAUCUCACAGAAGGGUUGGAGAGGCUUAAGGCCACAAAGCAAAUAUCUCCCCUUGGACUGAGCAAGUUCCUGUGGAUUCAUUCCUUCCGUAAAACCUCACCAGCACCCAGUAAAUACAGUUUUUGCUAGACGGUGAACAGAUCUUACUCCUGCUUGUGUAGCCUGAUGAACAAAAAUGUGUGAAGGGAACUGGGGAAGUAUGAGUAUUGUGGAAGCACAAAGGAUGGGUACUUGGUACCCAGUCCGGUUUCUAUCAGUAAAAUCUUUCCAGUGGAGUCCCAAAGAACACAAAGGAGACAGGCUAAAAGGAGGGAGAGGAGUGACUGGCAGGGAGAACUCCGUAUAUAUAAAGGCCUGAAGGAAGAAGGUGACAGGUUUCAAGAACUGAAAAGUAAUGUGACUUGUGUGUAAAGUACAGGGGGUGGGGGGUUGUUCAAGAUGCCUCUACAAAGGUAAGCAGAGGUGAGAACAUGAAUGACCUGUAAGAAUAUUAAGUAUGGUGACAGGAAACCAAUGAAGGGUUUUUGAGUGAAUAAAUGAAUGCUCUUUGCACUUAAAAAAUGCUACAGUGUAGACAGUGAAUUAUAUGGUGAGUAUGGAGUCAGGAACUGUUGAAAUGAUGAAUACAAAUAAGUAGUAAUGGUAGCUUGAAUUAAAGAUCUGGAGAGGUAUUAAAGAGAUAGAUUUGAGAUUUCUUAAAAACAGAUGUGCAAAAGAAAGAACCCAGCUGUCUUCUGAGCAGCUGAGAGCUGUGAUGUCACUGAUAGGAGGAGGAUCAGCAUGGGGAGGAGAAGAUGCAUUCAGGUUGGGGAGCUGUGGUUUAUGAAGUGAUAUCUAGUAAUCAGCCAGCUAAAAUGGUUCUGGAGUUUAUGAUAAAGAUCUGGGUCAGUGUCAUAGAUAGGGAAGUCUGCAGCAUAGUUGGCUUUUAAAGCAAGGGAAUGGACAAAACUAUCAGGAAGAAUGUAAAAUGGCAGAAACUCUGAACAUUGAUAAGAGAAGUAAUCUUCAAAGGGGGAUAAGAAAGAUUUUGAGGUAAUGGAAAUGAGAGUAUUUCAUGAAGACUGCGUCAUAGCAGCAAAUGCCACCGAGAAUAAAAGAGGACUGAAAAGUAUGUAUUAGCAUCUCACUGGAGAAGGAAGGCAGCAUUAAGUAGUGAUUUAAAAUCUUGGAAUCCUGGAAUCCGAUUGGGUUUGAAUCCUGGCUCUACAACUUACUAGUGAGGUUAUCCUCGGCAAGCCACUUGACCUCUUAGGUUGUUGUAAAGAUUCAAUUAAUAGAAUACUUAAAUUAUGCCAGACACAUAGGCAGUAUAUAAAAGUUCUUUAGCAUUUGAGAAACAAGCUUUCCUAAGGUAAGACGGUAUGGAUCCAGAGCAUAGGUAAAAGAGUUAGUCUUGGUUAGGAUGGCCAUCUCUACUAUUGUGGAAGAGGAAAGGAGUGUAGACAUAGAAUUAAUAGGUUGGUAACAAUAAGCUGAAGUUCAUGUGAUGGCUUUCUCUGAAGCAGGAGGUAGUCAUCUGAGAAAGAGGGAAACAUUUAGAAAUAAGAGGAACGGGAAUUAAUGUUGCAAACACAGGAUUCAUAUAAGGUUGAUGACUGAAUGUAUGUGUAGUAGCACCAGUUGGCACAGUUGUGUGAUUUUCUCCAUCUGUGCUCAGCAACCUGGGUAGAUUGGUGGAUUUACCCAGAGUUGAAAUUUGCCUAGCUGGGCGCAGCCAGGUAGGUAAGAACUGAGAACUCCUUCACAGGUUGCUGGUCUGAUAAAAAAUGUACACACACUUUGUACAGAUGGUUUGAUAGGAUUGGGGGGGGGGGCUUGCAUAUACUAUAUUGUUCCCACCUGCCCAUGGAUUGCUUACCAUUGCUAAAAUGUACCCACUCUUCAGGUUUUCACUGCCUCUCAGGAACCCCUGUUUAUAACUGUAAAUCAAGCCUACAGACCUCAUGUUCUUCCCCAGGACUAAGUCUGCCCCUACUUCAAGUAUGUGCUUUCUGCCCUGCUGUGAAGCGGCAGGGCCUCAUCUGCAGCUUCCUGAUCAUACUCCCUAUUCCCCUUCACAGGACUGGGCACACAACUGGUGCUGCUGUGAGACCCAUCCCUGCCCCUGCAGGGCACUCACCAUUAUAGGAGAGUGUGAGGCUCUCCAGAGACACCCAGGAGCUCAGCAGGUGGCACAGUGUCAGAGCCGCCUCUGUGGAGAGCGGAACUGUGAAUAGCUCCAAGGUGGAAAUGCUGCGGAAUCGCUGGGAGGCCUCCAGUGCUGGAAGCCCCAGGCAGCUGGGAUCUGAUCCAUCCAAAGCUCCACAAGCCACUUCCCCGAUCUCCAUCUCUUCCCCAUCCUCCUUCUCACCAGCCACAAUAAAAACAAAGUCAUACAGGUCUUCAGACUCUGCACCGGACCCCUGACGGGUGCGAGGACCCUUCUUCCCUGCAGCUCGCUUAAAACGCUUUAGCGGCUUAGACUGUGGGGCUGAGCUAGCUGGAGCCCGUUUGGAUGAGGAUGUGGAAGAGGAGGCAGAGGCAGAGGAGGUGGUGGCUGGAGCAGAGGGUGGUUGCUUGGUGCCAGGAGCCUCGUAGGAGGUUGCUGGAGGGUGCAGAUCCCUCUUAGGGUCUGUCCCACCUGCUGUCAGGCUCUCUUGUGUGCUCCGGCGUGUUACCCGGGUGGUGGGUGCAGCUCUGGCUGUCUGCUUGGCUUCACUCUUCCGCCGGGAUGCCAUGAGGGCUGCAGCACAUCGCUCAGCAGCAUCCCUGCGAGGCCGGCGUGAGCCCAGUAGGAGGGACCCUUCAUCUCGGGAUGGGGCCCGGCCUCGGGAGGCCUCUCCACAGAGGCGGCAAGGUGGACCACCAGGGCCUGGCUGCCAGAAGCCAGCACUCAUGGUGAGGAUAAGGAUGAAAAGGGCUGACUCAGGCACAGGCCAGGAGUACAGCGACACCUGGCUGACAGCCCCGUGGUGAAUAAGCUGAUGCAGCAGCUGCCGAAGUGACUGCUGAGCAGCCACAUCAGAGAACAGCAGGUGGCGGAACUUGAGGGUGUGCAGGGAACUGGCCAGGGUCUCCAGAACCCUGCGGUUGGGCUCAGCCACCAGCUCAGUUGCACCCUGCAGCAUAUUGCAGAUGGUGAGCUGCCGGACAUGGCGGGAGCUAUGCAGAAGAGGUGAGAAGCGCUGGUCACAGAGACGCCUGUCAGAAGACACAUCAAUGGUCCCACGUAGAACAUGGGAAAAAAAGGCCUCCAUAAACUUGGCUCGCCAACAGGUCACACUCUGAAAGUAGAGAACAUGCCAGACAGCUGUGAUACUAAGAGCGCUACCUGUUGAACCAUCAUCAUCCUGGGUUCCUUCCAAUAGCUAUUUGCUGAGCCAGGCAACAUUCUAAUUUAUACAAAUUCAUUUAAUCUUCCCAUCUUUGAGUAGGCUCCAUGCUGGACAUGGGACUGGACACGGGACUUGAAUUCAGGACACCGAGAUCAAGAAUUGGAUGCUUGGGAUCCCUGGGUGGCGCAGCGGUUUGGCGCCUGCCUUUGGCCCAGGGCGCGAUCCUGGAGACCCGGGAUCGAGUCCCGCAUCGGGCUCCCGGUGCAUGGAGC